AGAGCGAGAUAGCAAUGAUAUACU
rnacentral:piRNA from 1 species